UUCUGCCAGUAGUCAUAUGCUUGUUUCAAGGACUAAGCCAUGCAUGCCUCAGAAUAACUGCUUUGCAGGAAUCUGCGCAUGGCUCAUUACAUCAGACGUAAUCUGCCGCAAUAUUUUUGCGGUCUCCGCAUUAUUGGAUAACUUGGCGAAACGUCAAGCUAAUACAUGAACUAAUGCAGAACUCUGCGGAGUUUUGCUGCGAAUGAAUGAAAUUAAAAUCACCGCCACGGAUGUGGCAGCAACACAGUAGUGUUGACUCAAUUCAUUCCUGCGAAAGCUAGCUUGCUAGCGUCUUCUGACGAACAACUGCCCUAUCAGCUUGUGUUGGCAGUGUAGUGGACUGCCAAGGCUUUGACGGGAGCGGGGGAUUAGGGUUCGAUUCCGGAGAGGGAGCCUGAGAAAUAGCUACCACUUCUACGGAGGGCAGCAGGCGCGCAAAUUGCCCAAUGUCAAAAAAAAAGAUGAGGCAGCGAAAAGAAAUAGGGCCUGCAGACGGUUUCACCGUAUGCGGGAUACAAUGGGGGAUAUUUAAUGCCAUCCAAUAUCGAGUAACAAUUGGAGGACAAGUCUGGUGCCAGCACCCGCGGUAAUUCCAGCUCCAAAAGCGUAUAUUAACGCUGCUGCUGUUAAAGGGUUCGUAGUUGAAUUGUGGCCCGUGAACACGCUGUCCCGUCCUCUUUGGGGGCGCCAGCGCUUGCGGUGCCGUGAACAUUCGAAACAAGAAACGCGGGAAUGGUUCCUCUCCCAUCUACGCAUGUCAUGCAUGCGGGAAGGCGCCCGUGAUUUUUACUGUGACUAAAAAAGCGCGACCAAAGCAGUCGUUCGACCUGAAUUUUCAAGCAUGGGAUAACAAAGUUGACCUACGGAUAUUUCCGUUUUCGGCUUUUGUUGGUUUUAACAGUCCGUGGGACAUUAUAGACGUGCGCGACGGCCCUUUACGGGGUUUCCCAGCUUGCUGGGUUCGCGCGUCUUAGAAUGAAAGAGGGUUGCUCGGGGGAGAACGUACUGAAGCGUGAGAGGUGAAAUUCUUAGACCGCUUUAAGACGAACUACAGCGAAGGCAUUCUCCAAGGAUACCUUCCUCAAUCAAGAACCAAAGUGUGGAGAUCGAAGAUGAUUAGAGACCAUUGUAGUCCACACCACAAACGGUGACACCCAUGAAUUGGGGAGUUUUUGGUUGCAGGUGGUCGGGCUUGCCCGGUUCACUUGCGCCAAUUUUUUAAUUUACGUGCACGCUCAACACUGCUUCGGCAGCCUAACGGGGGCAUCCUCAGCACGUUUUUCAUUCCUUCACGCGAAAGCUUUGAGGUUAUAGUCUCAGGGGGGAGUACGUUCGCAAGAGUGAAACUUAAAGAAAUUGACGGAAUGGCACCACA
rnacentral:rRNA from 1 species